CCGAAGUCAAGCAUCAUUGGGCGUGGUCAGUACUUGGGUGGGUGACCACCUGGGAAAAUUUGG
rnacentral:rRNA from 1 species